rnacentral:rRNA from 1 species
ACUCAAAGGAAUUGACGGGGGCCCGCACAAGCGGCGGAGCAUGUGGCUUAAUUCGACGCAACGCGAAGAACCUUACCAAGGCUUGACAUACACCGGAAACGUCCAGAGAUGGGCGCCCCCUUGUGGUCGGUGUACAGGUGGUGCAUGGCUGUCGUCAGCUCGUGUCGUGAGAUGUUGGGUUAAGUCCCGCAACGAGCGCAACCCUUGUCCCGUG